AUGGCCGACGCGAUGGCCGCCGCCGCCGCCGGAGAGAGUCCGCCGCUGCAGGCGGACUACUUCUUCGGGAGGCCAUGGCCCGAUCUCAACGAAGGACUCUCCUACACCGAUACAUUCCGCGGCGCCGAUGCGGAAACCACCGCCGCCUUGAUCAACUUCUACUCCGAGAACUACAAGAGCUCGGCGCCAUUGCCAGGGUGGAUUCAUAGGAUUCGCAAUGGACAGAUAACGGUUGAUGGCCAAGUUGUCACUGAUCCAGAUAUGAUUCUCAGGGUGGGUUCUAAGUUGGUAUAUCAUCGCCUCGCAUGGAAGGAGCCAUUUGCACCACAUUUGCUUCAAGUGCUUUAUGAAGAUGACGACAUGGUCGCCCUUAACAAGCCUUGCGGUUUGCAAGUUCUGCCAAAAGGAAUCUUCCAGCAGCGCACUGUUCUAGCACAGCUUCAGUGGAAAGAGUGGAAGAUGCCCCCAUCAAGCUGCUCUAAGAGAAAAAAUGUGCAGUUACAUCCUGUACCUGUUCAUCGAUUAGGAAGGGGCACGUCAGGUCUACUGUUUUGUGCCAAGACAAAGCUUGCCAAAGUUCAACUUGCAUCUUAUUUUGCAGAAGGUGCUGCAAAUGCAGAGAAGAAAAGGGAUGGAACUGAGGUGGGCAAAGAACGGAAAAUUUCAAAAUUCUAUCGAGCAUUAGUAACUGGUAUACUUGAACACAAUGAGGAUGUGGUUACUCAACCCAUAGGAUUGGUUCACUACCCUGGAGUUGCAGAGGGACUUUAUGUGGCAUGUUCCUCAGGAAAGCCAGCCAUGAGCAAAGUGUGUGUUCUUGAGAGACUUUUGCAUCAAAAUCAAACGCUGGUCCAGGUUGAAAUUCAUUCAGGACGGCCUCACCAAAUCCGAAUACACCUUGCAUACAUUGGACACCCUCUUGUUGAUGAUCCUCUCUAUGGUAUUGGUGGGCAGCCUAAAUUUGAUGACCUGGAAUCUACUAGUACGGAUAUUUCUUUUGCAUAUGACGGAGGUUAUGAGAGGCCUUUACAGCCUGUUCCCGGAGACUGUGGGUAUCACUUGCAUGCUCAUUGGCUGGUCCUUUCUCAUCCAACCACGAAUAAGAUGGUGAAGAUAACUGCCCCUCUGCCGCAUAUCCUACAAACUCGAGAGGAGCGUUGCGAUCCGCAAGUUGAUACUUCAGCUCAUAACUUUCCAUUUGAAAGUAUGUGCAUCCAUGAGUUGAGCAAUCAGUAA
rnacentral:rRNA from 1 species